rnacentral:lncRNA from 1 species
CACGUGUCACUCACUAUCUCUCUCCACUGCCAACAAACUUUCGCGUUUCUCCCCACUCAAGAUGGCACUCAAUUAUCUCUCUCCAUUCUGUACAAAAUCUCAAACCCACUCUCUCAGAUUCCUACCACACACUCACGCACCUACCUCACUCCAUCCCUCACCCUUUCCUCAUUCUCUCUUCUCCCUCUGCGAAAAAGCUUCACCUUCAUUCUCCUUCAAGACAAAAUCGCUCACCACGCUUCCAUAACCCUCAAAACCCACUCUCCGCCGUUUCACCGCCACCACCAUUCAUCCUCCAACCUCCGCCACCCAACCACCAACAACUUCGACCUCCAUCUCCACCAUCAAUCGCCUCCAAACCCAUCUGAUUGUUACUCCGCCCUACAACUCAGCUACCGCCACGAUCCACACCUCCGAGUCACCUUCAAAACAAUCACCGCCUUCCAACCAUCAACAAACUCGCCGCUUCAUCUUCGACCUCCUCAAACCCUUCACAACGCCCUAACCUCUACACAAACCAUUCCGCCGUCACAAUCCACAAAACCCUCGCCGUUUUUCUACCAACCCUAAACCCCCAUCUUUAUCCUCUUCAAACUCAACCGCUCAAACCUUCGCGAUUUCCAAGCGAUACCACCUCCAUCGUCAGAGAAAUCUGGAGUCAAGACUACUGAAGUGGUGCUUGAAAUCGGUAUUGGUAGCGGUAAUUUGACCAAGAAGCUUUUGGAUGCCAAAGUCGAUCUAAAAGAUUAGCAGGGAGUUUUGAGCAAGCCGCUAACAAUCAACAACAACAUAAUCUGCUGUUCGGAUGUAAACAAGGGUAUUCUUUAGUUCCGCUUUCAAACCGAUCCAUUUUUGGUUCAAAUUCCGUCACACCUCAAAAGCAGCGGUUGGUUGUCGUCAUCUAUGUUGGUAAUAAUCUGAACUCAUCAAAGUUUUGCCUGUUUACAUCAUUCUGUAUUUUUCAGUUAAACCAAUGAUGCAUUGUGUAUAGUGAUUGCUGGCUGCUGUUAUGACUCGUAGUUUGAAGGUUUUUAUUGACAAGCUUAUUCCAAAUUUUUGGGUUAAUUAGUUUCUGUUCAAGUUAAAUAGAAAAACAGGAAAUAUUAAUCCCAACUUUACGAUUAUAUUAUGGAUGUUGUAGUUAAGCUGUCAAUCAAUGGUUCACGAUUUUAUGUUUAUGAUUGCCGAAUUUAUUGUUCAAAUCUGGGUUGAAUUGUGUUGUUGUGGUUGGUUAUGCUGUGAAUGAGUUCUGCAAGAAAAGAAUGAUUUGCUGUUUAAUUCUUUCUUUAAUUUCAUGGCCUUUUAAAUUCGGCCAAGUGAUGAUGUUAGCAGGAUGUAAUAUUUCGGUUGUGUUUAGAUGGAUUUAGGUUGCUUUACUAUGAACAUUUCAUUCUGAUUUUCACUUCAGCAACAUUGAGCGGUUGUAAGAUCUUCUUUAAAGCUGAUAGUAUAAUGCAAUUUGCAAAGUAUGUAAAUAAUCUGUUUGAUUCUCAAUUGGAUUUUAUUUCCGGAUUCGGCGAUUCUAUGUCGACAUGCCGC